rnacentral:misc_RNA from 1 species
GGAGGGAUCAUUACCGAGUUUACAACUCCCAAACCCCUGUGAACAUACCUUAAUGUUGCCUCGGCGGAUCAGCCCGCGCCCCGUAAAACGGGACGGCCCGCCAGAGGACCCAAACUCUAAUGUUUCUUAUUGUAACUUCUGAGUAAAACAAACAAAUAAAUCAAAACUUUCAACAACGGAUCUCUUGGUUCUGGCAUCGAUGAAGAACGCAGCAAAAUGCGAUAAGUAAUGUGAAUUGCAGAAUUCAGUGAAUCAUCGAAUCUUUGAACGCACAUUGCGCCCGCUGGUAUUCCGGCGGGCAUGCCUGUUCGAGCGUCAUUUCAACCCUCAAGCCCCCGGGUUUGGUGUUGGGGAUCGGCUCUGCCUUCUGGCGGUGCCGCCCCCGAAAUACAUUGGCGGUCUCGCUGCAGCCUCCAUUGCGUAGUAGCUAACACCUCGCAACUGGAACGCGGCGCGGCCAUGCCGUAAAACCCCAACUUCUGAAUGUUGACCUCGGAUCAGGUAGGAAUACCCGCUGAACUUAAGCAUAUCAAUAAGCGGAGGAAAAGAAACCAACAGGGAUUGCCCUAGUAACGGCGAGUGAAGCGGCAACAGCUCAAAUUUGAAAUCUGGCUUUCGGGCCCGAGUUGUAAUUUGUAGAGGAUACUUUUGAUGCGGUGCCUUCCGAGUUCCCUGGAACGGGACGCCAUAGAGGGUGAGAGCCCCGUCUGGUUGGAUGCCAAAUCUCUGUAAAGUUCCUUCGACGAGUCGAGUAGUUUGGGAAUGCUGCUCUAAAUGGGAGGUAUAUGUCUUCUAAAGCUAAAUAUUGGCCAGAGACCGAUAGCGCACAAGUAGAGUGAUCGAAAGAUGAAAAGCACUUUGAAAAGAGAGUUAAAAAGUACGUGAAAUUGUUGAAAGGGAAGCGUUUAUGACCAGACUUGGACUUGGUUAAUCAUCUGGGGUUCUCCCCAGUGCACUUUUCCAGUUCAGGCCAGCAUCAGUUUUCGCCGGGGGAUAAAGGCUUCGGGAAUGUAGCUCUCUUCGGGGAGUGUUAUAGCCCGUUGUGUAAUACCCUGGUGGAGACUGAGGUUCGCGCUUCUGCAAGGAUGCUGGCGUAAUGGUCAUCAACGACCCGUCUUGAAACACGGACCAAGGAGUCGUCUUCGUAUGCGAGUGUUCGGGUGUCAAACCCCUACGCGUAAUGAAAGUGAACGCAGGUGAGAGCUUCGGCGCAUCAUCGACCGAUCCUGAUGUUCUCGGAUGGAUUUGAGUAAGAGCAUACGGGGCCGGACCCGAAAGAAGGUGAACUAUGCCUGUAUAGGGUGAAGCCAGAGGAAACUCUGGUGGAGGCUCGCAGCGGUUCUGACGUGCAAAUCGAUCGUCAAAUAUGGGCAUGGGGGCGAAAGACUAAUCGAACCUUCUAGUAGCUGGUUUCCGC